rnacentral:lncRNA from 1 species
CCGCACCACCUAACCGGUUCGCUGUGUUGUUUCCCGGGCGAGUCCCGCAGCCUGUGAGCCGGAGCUCGUCCGUGCAAAGCGGGCCCAGACCAGCUGGGGGGCACCUGGCACCUGGGCAACUCUGGGACCCGGUGGUGUUGCCAGGACGAGGCCAGGGAAAGCAGGCAGAGCGGGCAAGGGUGCUUGCCGCCGCCCCCCACACUGCCAUGGACGGAGCGGAAAGCAACAGCAGCAGCAGCAUUCUGGGCGGCGUCCGAAACAACCAGUUCUGGGCGGCUGCUUGGCUGAGCUGGCCGGACCCAGCAGACAGAAGGGCCGGGGAGAAACAGAGGCCAGGCUGGUGCCAUCCUGGCUAGAGCCAGAGGCCCAAGCUUGCCCUGUCUCCUGCCUCGGUUCCGCUGAGCUGCGGGGAUCCGACAGAAAAAGAACUGAAGUGGUUAUUUUGUUACAUGUUUGUAGACAUUAA